GAUAAACGCUGGCGGCGUGCAUAAGACAUGCAAGUCGAACGAAGGAUCGGGCUUGCUCGUUCCUUAGUGGCGGACGGCUGAGUAACGCGUAGGUGACCUACCCCGAACUGGGGGAUAACUGCCCGAAAGGGUGGCUAAUACCGCAUGUGGUCGCCCGCUCCUUCGUGGGGGUAAAGCAGCAGGGUGGGUCGGGGGGGGACUGCGUCCGUUUAGCCGGGUGGUGGGGUAAUGGCAUUCCAAGGCGACGAUCGGGAGGCGGUCGGAGAGGACGAUCACUCAGACUGGGACUGAGACACGGCCCAGACUCCUACGGGAGGCAGCAGUCGGGGAUUUUGCGCAAUGGGGGAAAUGCUGAAGCAGCAACGCCGGGUGAGGGAUGAAGGCCUUCGGGUUGUAAACCUCUUUUGUCAGGGACGAUGAUGACGGUACCUGGAGAAUAAGCCACGGCUAACUACGUG
rnacentral:rRNA from 1 species